UAACAUAUGAAUGAUAUUGGUUUUCAAAGGAAGAUGGAUGAAAUUUCCACACAGUACCGCUACUGUAAUUAGGGAAUAUUAAUUAUUUAUACCACUGAACUUUUGUUUGGGAAGGUUAAUUAAUAUAAUGAUCUAUAAGUCAGGAUACUUACCAAUAUUAAAAAUAUCGA
rnacentral:ncRNA from 1 species